GACGAACGCUGGCGGCGCGCUUAACACAUGCAAGUCGAACGGGAGGGCCUGAGUUCCCUUGUUUGUUGCAGUUACUCACGGGUCGAACAGGUGAGUAGCACGUGCCUGAUCGGCCGCCACAUCAGGUAUAAGCGAGGGAUACUAGGGCAAAUGCCCGCGAGGACGGCUGGGUGGGGGCGGUGGGGGGAAACGAGCUUCUAGCGGCUGGAGAUUGGCUCGCGUUCGAUUAGCUAGUUGCUGAGGUAACGGCCGACCAAGGCGACGAUGGGUAGCCGGACUGAGAGGCUGAACGGCCACAUUGGGACUGAGACACGGCCCAGACUCCUACGGGAGGCAGCAGUGGGGAAUAUUGCAGAAUGGGGGAAACCCUGAUGCAGCGGCGCCGCGUGGAGGAAGAAGGUCUUCGGAGUGUAAAAUCCUGUUGUUGGGGAAGAUAAUGACGGUACCCAACAAGGAAGCGACGGCUAACUACGUG
rnacentral:rRNA from 1 species